rnacentral:rRNA from 1 species
AGAGUUUGAUCCUGGCUCAGGAUGAACGCUAGCGGCAGGCCUAAUACAUGCAAGUCGAACGGUGAUAGCAAUAUCAUAGUGGCGCACGGGUGCGUAACACGUAUGCAACCUACCUUAUACUGAGGGAUAGCCUUUCGAAAGGGAGAUUAAUACCUCAUAACACAUUGAACUGGCAUCAGUUUAUUGUUAAAGAUUUAUUGGUAUAAGAUGGGCAUGCGUCCAAUUAGUUAGUUGGCGAGGUAACGGCUCACCAAGACGAUGAUUGGUAGGGGAACUGAGAGGUUAAUCCCCCACACUGGCACUGAGAUACGGGCCAGACUCCUACGGGAGGCAGCAGUAGGGAGUAUUGGGCAAUGGAGGCAACUCUGACCCAGCCAUGCCGCGUGCAGGAAGAAGGCGUUAUGCGUUGUAAACUGCUUUUAUAUAGGAAGAAAUAGACCUUGCGAGGUAAGUUGACGGUACUAUAUGAAUAAGCACCGGCUAACUCCGUGCCAGCAGCCGCGGUAAUACGGAGGGUGCAAGCGUUGUCCGGAUUUAUUGGGUUUAAAGGGUGCGUAGGCGGUUUAUUAAGUCAGUGGUGAAAGACGGUCGCUCAACGAUUGCAGUGCCAUUGAUACUGGUAGACUUGAGUGGGAUUGAGGUAGCUGGAAUGG